GGUCUGUCAUUUUCUCACAGACAUGUAGCAAAACACCACUUUACAUGAAAGGAAGAAAAGAGAAGGAAAGAAAGAAAAGAAAGAAAGGAGAAUCGGGAAAAGGAUAUUUAUGGAUAUAUGUGAAUAACAGCAUAGAUUCUCAGACUAGUCCUCCAAGCUGGGUGACCUUUCACCUGGGAGUUGCUGCCAGCUUUCUGUGUUGGGUUGAUUGGUCAGGAAUGAAAUUUGGCAAAUGUGAAAUGUUCCAUGGGAAACAACACUGUUGUGGGUGGUGUUUGGCUUUAGCAAACAACCUUUCUGAUUGUAACAGGUGACUGAUAAGCUUAUUUUAUUUCUUAGACAACCUGUAGAUCUUGGGGAAAUGGAGACAGAAUUCACAGAAAGCAGCUCUGAGUCCCAGACAAGUUCACAGGAUAACUUUGAUGUAUAUGCUGGCACACCCACCAAAGUCAGACAUGUGGACUGCCAAGUGGAGGACGAGUUUGAUUUGGAAGCUUGUUUAACUGAACCUUUGAAAGACUUCUCUGCCAUGAGUUAACUGCCCCCUGGUGGUUACUCUGAGAAAUACUUGGCUCUGCCUGGCUGCCUGGAAGGCAUGAGUUGCUGUGCAUUUGUAUUUGUUUUCUCUGUUAAGAAUUUAUUUUCUCAUGAUAAAUAGUUUUUCUUGCCUUAUUUUUAUGUAUGGUGAAUGUGUUACGCAUGUUUUAAAUUGUAAAUGAAGCUGAAUCCAGUGAAGACUUAACCCUAUUACCUUUCUGCCUC
rnacentral:lncRNA from 1 species